AGAAACUUAGGAUAAAAAUUAAACCGAAGGCCUUCAAAGCCUUAAACAAGAGAUAAAGCCUCUUAGUUUCUG
rnacentral:tRNA from 1 species